rnacentral:rRNA from 1 species
AGCAGCCGCGGUAAUUCCAGCUCCAAUAGCGUGUAUUAAAGUUGUUGCAGUUAAAAAGCUCGUAGUUGAAUUUCGGGAUCAAUUUAUUGGUCGUGCUAUUGUACGUACUGGUAUUAUUGAUUCCUACCUUCUGACGAACCAUGAUGUCAUUAAUUUGGUGUCAUGGGGAAUCAGGACUGUUACUUUGAAAAAUUAGAGUGUUUAAAGCAGGCUCGCACCUGAAUACAUUAGCAUGGAAUAAUGAAAUAGGACGUUUGAUUCUAUUUUGUUGGUUUCUAGGAUCGACGUAAUGAUUAAUAGGGAUAGUUGGGGGCAUUAGUAUUCAAUUGUCAGAGGUGAAAUUCUUGGAUUUAUUGAAGACUAACUACUGUGAAAGCAUUUGCCAAGGAUGUUUUCAUUAAUCAAGAACGAAAGUUAGGGGAUCGAAGACGAUCAGAUACCGUCGUAGUCUUAACCAUAAAACUAUGCCGACUAGGGAUCGGAUGAUGUUAAUUUUAAUGACUCAUUC